UGGUUAUGUAAAUCCUUUAAGGAUAGUCUUUCAUCCCGUAGUGUAGGCCUUUGUAACGUGCUGUAAUGUACUUUUCUUUUAAUGAAAUUCUUGUUUUUUACUCAUACUUGUUCUUUCUCUGUCAUGGAUGAAGUACUGAUACUGCUUUUCUUCGUAGCUUUAGCCAACUAAAUUUUGUUUCGUUUUUUCCGAGUUGAACUGACCAUAUUUCG
rnacentral:lncRNA from 1 species